rnacentral:lncRNA from 1 species
GGUGAAAAGUUGAUUAGAAACUUGGAAAAGUGAGUUUUUAUGAAAGGGUAGAAAUAUGAAAAGAAACAAGAAAAAGAAAUCACCCUUGAAACCAUAGAGCAAAGAAAAAAGAAUAGAAAAAAAAGCAAAGAAAGUGCUCAUGGUUGUGCGGAUUUGAAAAGAAAAAAAAAGAAAAAGAAAAAGAUAGGGAUCAAAGAAAGGGAAAUUG